rnacentral:tRNA from 1 species
UCCCUGGUCGUCCAGUGGCUGAGACUCUGCCCUCUCAAUGCAGAGGGCCCAGGUUUGAUCCCUGGUCAGGGAG